ACGGGGGGAGCAAGCGUUGUUCGGAUUUACUGGGCGUAAAGGGCGCGUAGGCGGCCACCGCAAGUCGACUGUGAAAUCUCCGGGCUUAACCCGGAAAGGUCAGCCGAUACUGCGGGGCUAGAGUGCAGAAGGGGCAACUGGAAUUCUCGGUGUAGCGGUGAAAUGCGUAGAUAUCGAGAGGAACACCUGCGGCGAAGGCGGGUUGCUGGGCUGACACUGACGCUGAGGCGCGAAAGCUAGGGGAGCGAACGGGA
rnacentral:rRNA from 1 species